GUGACAGAGUGAGGGAGGGAAGUGGUGACUAGUGACAGAGGGAGGGGUGACUAGGGACAGAGUGAGGGAGGUUGUGACUAGUGACAGUCACCACCUCUCUCACUGUCACUAGUCACCCCCUCCCUCACUCUGUCACCAGUCAUCCCCUCACUCUGUCACUAGUCACCCCUUCCUUCCCUCACUCUGCCACUAGUCACCCCUUCCCUCAAUAUCACCUGUCACCCCCUCACUCUGUCAC